rnacentral:rRNA from 1 species
GACGAACGCUGGCGGCGUGCCUAAUACAUGCAAGUCGAACGCAGUGGGGACGGGUGAGUAACACGUGGGUAACCUCCCAUACGAGGGGAGAAAACUUGGAAACAGGUGCUAAACCCCAACUGAUGGAUGGACCCGGGGUGCAUUAGCUAGUUGGUGGGGUAACGGCUCACCCAGGCCACGAUGCAUAGCCGACCUGAGAGGGUGAUCGGCCAAACUGGGACUGAGACACGGUCCAGACUCCUACGGGAGGCAGCAGUAGGGAAUCGUCGGCAAUGGACGAAAGUCUGACCCAGCAACGCCGCGUGAGUGAAGAAGGUUUUCGGAUCGUAAAACUCUGUUGGUAGAGAAGCGGUAUCUAACCAGAAAGCCACGGCUAACUACGUGCCAGCAGCCGCGGUAAUUC